AAGUAAAAGUCGUAACAAGGUUUCUGUAGGUGAACCUGACGGAAGGAUCAUUA
rnacentral:rRNA from 1 species